GCUCUCCGCCAGCUCGCAGCGACCGACCAGCUCGGAGAGUGACUUUGGGUUUCCAGGUCGUCGGAUCGGUUGUUUGUACCAACCCAAAAAUAGAGGCCAUCUAAACCAUGGGAAUGAUCGGAUGAUCACCCUACCACGUGAAAGAAGAGGACCCCUAAAGAUGGGAACUACUGAAAGGCCAUGGUCCUGGAUCUGGAGAAACACACAGAGGCAAUGCACCAAAUUGCAGGCUCCAAACUGGAGUCUGGGGCUGAGCCAAGACCUGCAGGGAAAAAAAAAAAAAAAACCGCUCUUCACCCCACUAAGAGUUGGGAGAACCCUCCUUUCUCUAGCC